CAAUUACUUAAAAAAAAAAAAAAAAUCACAGAUCCCUUUACUCUUACUCUAAUAUAUGUAUCAUGAUACACUAAUGAUUCAUUAUUACUUAAUACAAAAUUAUAUUUAAUAAUAGAAAACAAAAUAUCUCCACAUGAUGUUUCUCUCUCUGUGCCAUUUAGUACUUUCAGACAAUGAUGUGUGUCGUUAAUAAUUUCUUUUGCAUGGCUGCAUAAUGUAAUGCCGAAAUACACAAUAAUAUGUUUUCAAUUUUAAAAAGUAAAUUAAAAUAAAUCAUGAUCGUUUUCUAAAGUAUGUUUUCAUGGGUGUUAAUCGCUUCAUUUUUGUUGGAAGAAAAAACAACUGUCACACUGUGAUAAAGGCUGAAGGUGAACGCAGCGAAGACGUAUUGGUAUUGGAUGCGAGAACACACACACGCACACACACACACACACACACACACACACGCACACACAGACACACCUUGUACUCUCUGAUGUUCGCUCUGCUCGGCGCCACUGUGGAUUGAAAAACGCGCUGAAUCCAUGCAGACUCAGAUAAGGGGAGGAGCCGGAACUUGAUGCAGCUUGCCACCGUUUCAAAUGAGAUUUUAAAGGGGACUGAAGCGAUCACUAAUUAAUUAAUCAAAUAAUUUUUUAGGGGGGCUGGGCAUAAGUUUAGGGGGGCUGAAGCUCUUGGAAUAUUUCACUUUGUGUUCAAUGAAUCUAGAAUAUAAAAAAGUAUGCUUUUUUAAAUUCAAUUACAAAAAAAUAUGACUUUUUCCAUUAUAAUCUCAUUUUUUGAGAUGCACAUGUACAGCUAAAUGUCUCUCUGUGUAGAUGGGCCCUAAGAGAUGCACAACAGAUCUGCUGUGGCUUUGUUUGAAUUAUUUUAAUUUGCAUAAUUGAGCAAAACAGACAAUAUUGUUUCCAAAAUUUCAUAAUUUAACUAUUGUAUAAAAAUAUUACAAUAUCACAUAUGCUAUUGUGCAGAUAUUCAGGAAAAAAAAAAAAACAGCACAUGUGAUAUUGCCAAACUAUAUCAUAUAUAAACCCAUACACAUUUUCCAUAAUUAAUCAUAUCAAUUAAAAUUUUAAAUAUACAGUAAAUAGACAUAAUUACUUUUAUGUGGUGUUGCAUCUGAUUAAACGUUUAGAGAUUAUUAAAAUGUGUAUUUGAAGUGUCAGUUUUUACAUUAUGAUUAGUCAAAACUGAACACACACACACACACACACACACUAAUACAAUAAGAGAGAGAAUAGCCUUAACAUUACCUGUGUGUUACGAAAAGAAUGAUAAACGUCAUGCUCUGUUUAAGGCUAGAAUUUCAUUUAUGUUUUUAAAAUAUUACUGACCUUUGUGGAUGAGUUCUAAGAUUCGAUGCCGUCAUUCCGAUAUCUUUAAUUGUUUUCCCACAUUCACUGCAUCUAGCUGAUCUUCAUGAUCCUGAUUCUAACACACUAUUGAAACCAAAUGUAAGGAAAUUUGACAUUGUGGUUCCCGCCAUAUUUCAUAACCUUCUGACAUUUUGGAAUGCAUGGACAUACGUCAUCAAAUACUAUGAUAAGAAUCCCACCUACAUCAACAUACAGGGAAAUACAUGGUACAGAUAUUGUUAAAGCAUUAGUAAAUUUUAAUUUCUUUCUUUACGAGAUUAGUAGUUAAGGAUAAAAGACUUGAGUAAAAGACUCAAAUCUGAAGUAAUUUCAAGUCAAUUCUGGAGUCGAGUCUGAAGUCUAUUAAAAUGAGACUGGAGUCUGAGUCACUAACUCAAGGUCCCAUCUCUGGCUAACAAUGUUUUAUCAGUGCAUAUUUUCCUUCUGAUUCAGAUUAGAUGACUUUUCACUGAGAAAGCAAUAUUUUGGAUAGAUGACUAUGUCAAUUUUGGCUGGAAAUAACUUUCUGAGAUUAAAAACAUCAUAAUGAUUGAUUAAUUGAUGAACUUGUGGAUUAUUUUAAUGUGUAUGUCAGCUAUCUGGACUCUCAUUUUGAUGGCACCCAUUCACUGCAGAAGAUCCAUUAGUGAGCGAGUGAUGUAAUGCUAGACUUCACCAAAUCUUUUCCAAUUAAAAAACAUAUCUACAUCUGGGAUGGCUACACUCUAAAAAACGCUGGGUUGUUUUUUCAACCCAACUGCUGGGUUGAGGCCAUUGGAUAGGACUUUGGGAUGUUUUAACCCAAGUUUGGGUUGAAAAUAACUCUCUUUUUUAACCCAGCGGGGGUGGGUUGAGGACGCGGACGUGAAGGAGAGCACGCACGUCACGUCAAAAUCGUACGUCUCCAGUGCGAGCGGCCGCCAUUUUCUCAGCGUGAUAGAAGCGAGAAGCGAGUGAAAGACUAUGACUUGUCCAGCUCCUGUCUUCAUUGUCCUCGCGCUGAGAGUUAAAGACACAGAAGCUGUUUGUGUGAGGAGUCACCUGUGUGAGGAUGAGGAGGAGGUGUUCUUCUGAAGAGAGGGACAGACGGUUUAAGGAGAGAAAACUUCAGAAUAACAUCAAGUUAUCUUUAUUUUUACUAAGACUAAAAUAAUGUGUGUGUUUUUUUUAGAUGUUGAAAUCCAGAGACAAGAUAACUUCAUUCUUUUGAGACUGAUAACUCAAACUAACUGGAGUUAAGGACACACAAGUCUGCUUGUGUGAGGAGGUGGUUUUCUCAGCUUCUUCUGAAGAGAGGGAAAGAUCGUUUAAGG